CUUGCUUCCUUCUGAGGAUUUGAUUCAUAAUGACGUCCAGGUUGAGUUGACUGUAACAGUUGAUUCAUAAGGACGUCCAGGUUGAGUUGACUGUAACAGUUGAUUCAUAAUGACGUCCAGGUUGAGUUGACUGUAACAGUUGAUUCAUAAUGACGUCCAGGUUGAGUUGACUGUAACAGUUGAUUCAUAAUGACGUCCAGGUUGAGUUGACUAACAGUUGAUUCAUAAUGACUUCCAGGUUGAGUUGACUAACAGUUGAUUCAUAAUGACGUCCAGGUUGAGUUGACUAACAGUUGAUUCAUAAGGACGUCCAGGUUGAGUUGACUGUAACAGUUGAUUCAUAAUGACGUCCAGGUUGAGUUGACUGUAACAGUUGAUUCAUAAUGACGUCCAGGUUGAGUUGACUGUAACAGUUGAUUCAUAAUGACGUCCAGGUUGAGUUGACUGUAACAGUUGAUUCAUAAUGACGUCCAGGUUGAGUUGACUAACAGUUGAUUCAUAAGGACGUCCAGGUUGAGUUGACUGUAACAGUUGAUUCAUAAUGACGUCCAGGUUGAGUUGACUGUAACAGUUGAUUCAUAAUGACGUCCAGGUUGAGUUGACUGUAACAGUUGAUUCAUAAUGACGUCCAGGUUGAGUUGACUGUAACAGUUGAUUCAUAAUGACGUCCAGGUUGAGUUGACUGUAACAGUUGAUUCAUAAUGACGUCCAGGUUGAGUUGACUGUAACAGUUGAUUCAUAAUGACGUCCAGGUUGAGUUGACUGUAACAGUUGAUUCAUAAGAACGUCCAGGUUGAGUUGACUAACAGUUGAUUCAUAAUGACGUCCAGGUUGAGUUGACUGUAACAGUUGAUUCAUAAGGACGUCCAGGUUGAGUUGACUGUAACAGUUGAUUCAUAAUGACGUCCAGGUUGAGUUGACUGUAACAGUUGAUUCAUAAGGACGUCCAGGUUGAGUUGACUGUAACAGUUGAUUCAUAAUGACGUCCAGGUUGAGUUGACUGUAACAGUUGACAGCGUAGCUUACACCUCCUUACGCCACACAGGGUAAAUUUCUCAUGCUAUAUUUAGGUACGGCUUGGGUACACACACACACACACACACACACACACACACACACACACACACACACACACACACACACACACACACACACACACACACACACACACACACACACACACACACACACACACACACACACACACACACACACACACAGACCCCCAGGCAGACAGCUGUUGUAACAUUCCUUCAGCUCCAGUCCUAAAGAUAACAGUCUGUACUUGGCUCUCAGGUGGAGGUGACAGGGAUGAUAUGGGUGAGGUAGAGGUACAGGUAGAGGUACAGGUAGAGGUACAGAUAGAGGUACAGAUAAGAGGUACAGGUAGAGGUACAGAUAGAGGUACAGAUAAGAGGUACAGGUAGAGGUACAGAUAGAGGUACAGG